ensembl:rRNA 5S_rRNA 5S ribosomal RNA
GACACUGACCAUACCUCUUUGGGCUGUGAUCUUAUCAGAUUUUACAACUCAUCAGGGCUGGGAUGAGUCAGUGUUUGAUGUGGGAGACCUCCAAGGAGAAUCCAUCUGCUGUAGUCU